AGCUACGCUAUGAGGAUCAUCUAAGCUUGUUUGGAUCCAGUAGAUACCAUUUUUGAGGUAAGAAUGGCUAUGAAUAUUAAUUACCGCUGCAUAUUCUUUGAGACCGUGCAAAAUUCUAAGAUAAAAUGCUUAUAUGAAGUUGAUAGGUAGCAGAAACUGCUUAUGCCUGAAACUAAAUAGUAGAGCUACAUCAUAUGCUCAUUGGUCAUUUUGCUUGGAGACAUACUGAGUUCGUUAAGCCUACUAAUUAGCUGAACAAGUUCAGCCAAUAGGUAGAUGUUAUUUGUUCUUUCUUGCUCUUUCUUUUGUUGAUUUUCAGUCCUAGUCUCACAAAACCGCGCUACAGUUUCACUUAUAAUGAGCCAAGAGAGAGAAUGUUCAUUAGUUUUAUUUGGAUUUAGUGUACAUAAAUAAUUAGCUAAGUUUGGUUAUAUUUAGCAUUAGAUGUUUCCUAGCAAUGAAAAAUGGUGGCCUGUUUUUUCCCUUGACAAGUUACAUUAGCAAUGUGUAAAAGUUUGUCAAAGCUGGCUGUGUAAACUUGUCUCCUAGGAGGAUGUAAAUUCCCUCUCUUUACAAUGCAAUGAAACGCAAAAGCCAUUUGCAUUUUCUCGAAAAAAAACUGAAGGCCAAGGUAGAUUCCUCAAUGUACAUAUUGUUUGCACUUUCUAAGUACUGAAGUAUGUAUAUUUUAGAUAAAGUAGCAUUUGCUAGUAGAGAUCAUGGUUGGGUCAACAUAUAUUUCCACUGAACAUUGGCAUAUUUAGAGCUUUCUAUAUAUUUUAUAUUUUCUUUCAGCGAGUUUUUCUGAAGAUGUGUCAAUGUUCAGCCUGGAGAAUGUUCAUGUAAAGGCCAGUACACAAGCAUGUCUACUUUACCAUAUGGAUGGUGGAUUUACAGGACAAAUUUAUGCACUAGCUUUGAAUUCCAUGACGUUGCACGGACUAUGUGGAACCCACUGAUUCAUAGUGAUGUAUUUUCUUCGAGAAAGAGAGGACUGUGCAAUCAGAAGUACAAUAUGUGAUCAUCAAGUGUAAGAGAUGGCAAGAAUAUGUGGUAUGUAUUUCAGUCUGCGUACUAACGAAGUGUAUUGACUGUUCAUGCUGCUAUAAUAAGCUCGAUGAUUUACUAUGGAAACAUAAAAACACUUAAGAAGCAUCUUAAUUUUUAUGUACUGAGAUUUUA
rnacentral:lncRNA from 1 species